AGAGUUUGAUCCUGGCUCAGGAUGAACGCUAGCUACAGGCUUAACACAUGCAAGUCGAGGGGAAACGACAUCGAAAGCUUGCUUUUGAUGGGCGUCGACCGGCGCACGGGUGAGUAACGCGUAUCCAACCUGCCCAUCACUUGGGGAUAACCUUGCGAAAGUAAGACUAAUACCCAAUGAUAUCUCUAGAAGACAUCUGAAAGAGAUUAAAGAUUUAUCGGUGAUGGAUGGGGAUGCGUCUGAUUAGCUUGUUGGGCGGGGUAACGGCCACCAAGGCUACGAUCAGGUAGGGGUUCUGAGAGGAAGGUCCCCCACAUUGGAACUGAGACACGGUCCAAACUCCGUACGGGAGGCGA
rnacentral:rRNA from 1 species